UCAAAAAUCAACUAUCUCAAAAAUCAAUUGUCUUAAAAAUCAACCAUCAAAAACUAAUUAUCUCAAAAACCAUCUCUCUUAAUAAUCAACCACAAAAAACCAAUAAUUCAAAAAGUGAUUGUCUAAAAUCCACCUUAGAAACUAAUUGUCUUGAAAUACCAAUUAUCACAAAUAUUUUACUCAUCACUAUGGAGCUCCAUAAGAAUACACAUCAUGUCCACUGUAUUUCCAUCACAUUAUCCUUUUCCAUUUUCUACCAUAUUAGUGGCCAAGCUUUCUUCUACAUUCUCUUGCUGCUUCUCAUGUUCUUUUUCAUAUUAUUUCUCCUUUUUCAACUUCUUCUCUUCUUUUUCUUCUUCUCUCAAAAAAAUCUAUUUUCUCCUCUUCAUUUUAUUCCUAUUUCUUCUCAUCCAACUUCUCCUCUUCUUUUUCUUCUUUGUUCUCUUCCAGUUUUCUUCCUCUUCUUUCUCUGUCAUCUAUUCUUCCUCUUGUUCUUUAUCUCCCACUACAAAAAACAUAUCGAUUGUGGAUGGCUUUUUUUUGCAGAGGUCUAUAUAACCACCACAACUUUAUCAAGUUGUGGACAUUUGACUAGCCCCAUCAAUAUAAACACAAUGCAUUGAAAUCGGGAAUCAAUAACUCAUGUAACUAGCAAAAUUAAGAUUCGGAAAACCAAAAAAUGAGACCUCUUCAUUUCCUUUAAUGUCCUACAAAAUUUUUCUUACAAAAUCUCAUUUUCUCCAGUUGUUUCAUACUUCUCUUCUCCAUCAAAAGUAUCUCCUAAUAAUUUUUCUCAAUAUAUCGAUCGAGCCCUAAUUUAGAAUUCGAUCUCUUCAAAGAAAAAUCAUCAAGGCAUUUCAAUCGUUUAAUCAACAGAGUUAUGGGUUCUCUUCUCCUCAUUUUCAUUCCUUUUCUAUCGAUUAUUGAACUUAUUUCCUAUACAAAGAAUUUGUCUACUGUGUAUUUGGAGCAACAGUAGGCUCCAAUCAGAUCGUCGUCCAACGUCCUGCCACCAUGGAGAAGCUUAGUUCCAGCCCUUCCUUACAGAUUACAUUACUACUUCAUAUUGGAGAAAAGCAAUUUAGACUUAACAUUUUAAGGAAAUAGCUUGGAGUUGGUUGAAUGAGUGAUGGGCAUAGAUGUGACAUAUGUAAUGCUUGUUUCGACAUUGAACGUGAGUCACAAAAAUAGAUCUAGAUGUACUAAUCAUCCGUAUGGAGCCCCUUGUGGACACAAAACACGUUCAUUUGACUCUAUCAAGUUUGGAAAAAAGUGUGGUACCUCGGAUGCCACUCUUGAAAAUUUUUGGAUGAAAAGAAGCUUAAGAGGAGAGAGUUGAUGCUCUAUACUGUUGUCUAAGAGUGUUGAUGCUCUAUACUGUUGUCUGAGAGAGUUGAUGUCCCUAGAGUAUUUUGGGAUUUCCUACAAGGAUAAGAUACCUCAUCAUUAUGAAUCACUCAAGAAAACUGUGCUCCUUUGGUAGAUUUUCUUUUCAUAUUGCAUUCUGAAAUGCCAAUAGAUUUGGUUCCAUUUCCAAUUAGGAAAAGAACUUUAUACUAACCUAGUUUAUUUUUCUUUUGUUCAAUUAUCGGUGACCUUAAAAUUGAUGGAAAUUUCCCAUAUUUGUGAGAUGCUUUGUGCUGGUUAAUGUUUGUUGCAUUUUAUUGUGCGAGCUGAAAACUGACAUGAAAAGAAGAUCUCUACUAAGACUCAAUAUCUUGUUCGAGACCUUACAUAUUAAUUUAUUUUUCUAAAUAUAUAUAUGUAGUGUAUUUCAAAUCUAGUCAUAGUAUAUUAACAUUGUGCAUUUGAAUAAGAGAAGAAAACUCCUUUGAUGGAGAUCCAGGUGAAUAGUGCUACAAUUGCUCAGAAUUAUGAGAUGAUUGAUAUUAUUGGUGUAUUCUAAGGUAAAGGUUAUGAAGGUGUUGUAACUUUUUAGGAGUGUAACAUGUCUAACGUGCAAAACUCACGGGACCCUACUUAAGUAUGCUAGAGCUUCAACAACAGUGACUUGUGCUGGUCAAAAUGGAUACGACCACUUACUGAGAAGAGUAGAGUUUAAACAUUUACUUCAUUAGGAAGAGCACAAUUUUUAAAGAAUAUAUUAUUAUUGUUAUUUCUUAUUUUCA